rnacentral:rRNA from 1 species
GUUCCUAAAAUUAUGCUUGUUGACUGUUGAUGCACUUCAGUGUGUGUCACGGUAGAGGGCCACUGUCACUUUGAGAAAUUCAGUGUGCUCAACGCAGGCUUUACGCUUGAAUAAUGCUGCAUGGGAUGACGAAAGAAGGCCUUGGCUCCGUUUCGUUGGUUUACGAAAGCAAAGGUCAUGAUUAAUCGGGACAGACGGGGGCAUUCGUAUUGCGGUGCUAGAAGUGAAAUUCUGUGACCAUCGCAAGACGAACAACUGCGAAAGCAUUUGCCAAGAAUGUUUUCAUUAAUCAAGAACGAAAGUUAGAGGAUCGAAGACGAUUAGAUACCGUCCUAGUUCUAACUGUAAACUAUGCCAGCCGGGCAUUCGCCAACGCUUUAUCUUGGCGAGCACCCUCCGGGAAACCAAAGUUAUUUGGUUCCGGGGAGAGUAUGGUUGCAAAAUCGAAACUUAAAGGAAUUGACGGAGGGGCACACCAGAAGUGGAGCCUGCGGCUCAAUUUGACUCAACGCACGAAAGCUUACUCGGUCCGAACACUGCGAGGAUUGACAGGUUGAAAGCUCUUUCUUGAUUCAGUGGGUAGCGGUGCAUGGCCGUUCGUAGUUGGUGAAGUGAUUUGUCUGGUUUAUUCCGAUAACGAACGAGACUCUAGCCCACUAAUUAGCGUAGUGAUUGCACAUCGCUACGAUGCUUCUUAGAGGGACAGGUGCUGCUUAAGCACACGAAGUUGAGCAAUAACAGGUCUGUGAUGCCCUUCGAUGUUCGAGGCUGCACGCGCGCUACAAUGGAGGGCGCAGAGCGCACUACGCUUCCUGUGAAGGAUGCGGAAUCGUGAAUAGCCUUCAUGACUGGGAUCGGGGAUUGAAAUUGUUCCUCGUGAACGAGGAAUUCCUAG